rnacentral:rRNA from 1 species
CCAUAGCGACUAUCGUGGCAUAUCAAUAAGCGGAGGAAAAGAAACUAACAAGGAUUCCCUUAGUAACGGCGAGUGAAGCGGGAAGAGCUCAAAUUUGAAAUCUUCAAGGUUCUACCUUGACGAAUUGUAGUUUAUAGAAGUGUUUUCUGUUAGUAGGAGUGGCAAAAGUUCUUUGGAAUAGGACAUCAUAGAGGGUGAGAAUCCCGUAUUUGGUCAUUCCUCCUAGCGUUGUGAUACACUUUCAACGAGUCGGAUUGUUUGGGAAUGCAGUCCAAAAUGGGUGGUAAAUUUCAUCUAAAGCUAAAUAUUGGCGAGAGACCGAUAGCGAACAAGUACCGUGAGGGAAAGAUGAAAAGAACUUUGAAAAGAGAGUUAAACAGUACGUGAAAUUGUCAAAAGGGAAGCGUUUGACACCAGUGUUGUUUUUCCGAAAAUCAAUUACGAAUGUUUUGUUUUUGAGGAGUUAUGACUUCAUCGGCUUGCUCCUUUCUUUACGAAACUUUCUUAAUGCACUUUUCGGUUAACAAGUCAACAUCAAUUUCUUUCGUUGUAAAAGGGUAUGAGGAAGGUGGCUUUCUUUUCGGAGAAAGUGUUUAUAGCCUUGUGCCCUCUACAAUCGGAGAGAUUGAGGUCUGCAGCGUAGAUCCUUCGGGGUUAGAUACGUUCGUGCUAAGUUAUAGCUUUUCAUAGACAACUUGUUGACUAUGUUUAGUCUUGUAGCUUACUCGCUGAUGCUAUUUUACCUACGCUUAGGAUGUUGACGAGACUGUCGAUCUC